rnacentral:tRNA from 1 species
UAUCUCAGUUGGUAGAGUGCUUGCCUUGCAUGCAUAAGGCCCUGGGUUCAAUCCCCAG